CGGACGGGUGAGUAACGCGUGAGAAUCUGCCUUCAGGACGGGGACAACAGCUGGAAACGGCUGCUAAAACCCGAUGUGCCGCAAGGUAAAAGUAUUUAUAGCCUGAAAAUGAGCUCGCGUCUGAUUAGCUAGUUGGUAGAGUAAGAGCCUACCAAGGCCACGAUCAGUAGCUGGUCUGAGAGGAUGAGCAGCCACACUGGGACUGAGACACGGCCCAGACUCCUACGGGAGGCAGCAGUGGGGAAUUUUCCGCAAUGGGCGAAAGCCUGACGGAGCAAGACCGCGUGAGGGAGGAAGGCCCUUGGGUUGUAAACCUCUUUUAUUAAGGAAGAAGAACUGACGGUACUUAAUGAAUCAGCAUCGGCUAACUCCGUGCCAGCAGCCGCGGUAAUACGGAGGAUGCAAGCGUUAUCCGGAAUCAUUGGGCGUAAAGAGUCCGUAGGUGGUUUGUCAAGUCUGCUGUCAAAGCCUGGAGCUCAACUCCAUCAAGGCAGUGGAAACUGAGAGACUAGAGUCUAGGAGGGGUAGAGGGAAUUCCCAGUGUAGCGGUGAAAUGCGUAGAGAUUGGGAAGAACACCGGUGGCGAAAGCGCUCUACUGGACUAGAACUGACACUGAGGGACGAAAGCUAGGGGAGCGAAAGGGAUUAGAUACCCCUGUAGUC
rnacentral:rRNA from 1 species